GCCGGAGUGGCGGAACAGGCAGACGCAAGGGACUUAAAAUCCCUCGGAGGGUUACCUCCGUACCGGUUCAAGUCCGGUCUCCGGCA
rnacentral:tRNA from 1 species